rnacentral:rRNA from 1 species
UACGUAGGUGGCGAGCGUUGUCCGGAUUUAUUGGGUUUAAAGGGUGCGUAGGCGGCUUUGUAAGUCAGUGGUGAAAUACUCUAGCUUAACUAGAGGGGUGCCAUUGAUACUGCGGAGCUUGAGUACAGAUGAGGUAGGCGGAAUUGACGGUGUAGCGGUGAAAUGCAUAGAUAUCGUCAAGAACACCGAUAGCGAAGGCAGCUUACUGGGCUGUAACUGGCGCUGAGGCACGAAAGUGUGGGGAUCAAACAGG